rnacentral:tRNA from 1 species
GGUGCUGUACUUUAAGAAAAAGGUUAAGCUUGCAACUUAGAAUUGGGCGUGUUCCCCAGUGCUU